UUGCUCUUCGAUUCAGCGGCGGACGGGUGAGUAAUGCCUAGGAAUCUGCCUAGUAGUGGGGGACAACGUUUCGAAAGGAACGCUAAUACCGCAUACGUCCUACGGGAGAAAGUGGGGGAUCUUCGGACCUCACGCUAUUAGAUGAGCCUAGGUCGGAUUAGCUAGUUGGUAGGGUAAAGGCCUACCAAGGCGACGAUCCGUAACUGGUCUGAGAGGAUGAUCAGUCACACUGGAACUGAGACACGGUCCAGACUCCUACGGGAGGCAGCAGUGGGGAAUAUUGGACAAUGGGCGAAAGCCUGAUCCAGCCAUGCCGCGUGUGUGAAGAAGGCCUUCGGGUCGUAAAGCACUUUAAGUUGGGAGGAAGGGCUCAUAGCGAAUACCUGUGAGUUUUGACGUUACCAACAGAAUAAGCACCGGCUAACUUCGUGCCAGCAGCCGCGGUAAUACGAAGGGUGCAAGCGUUAAUCGGAAUUACUGGGCGUAAAGCGCGCGUAGGUGGCUUGAUAAGUUGGAUGUGAAAUCCCCGGGCUCAACCUGGGAACUGCAU
rnacentral:rRNA from 1 species